CCUAGACAUAGCAAAUGGAUGAACUCAGUCUCAAGACUCUCGACUCUGGUUGUCGCUGUUUGUCUCCCAUUCUCUCUCGACCUAUCCGUGGCUGUCACUCCCAGCCUCCUGCUACCUUGCAUUCCUUUCCGUUGGCCGUCGCUCCCGCUGAAGCCUGUCGUGUGGCCUUGGCCCAUGUCUGUCUCUUACUCAAUCACUCUCUCUCGAGUCUCGGCAGUCGGCCCUAUGGGCUGUGACUGUCGGUGACUAGCUCCGGCUGCUGCUCUUGGAAGAGAUAAGUUGGGGGUUGCUGCCGUGAAUCUAGUUGCAGGAGAAAAGCCUGCAGAUGUGUACUCAGGAAUAGCUUCUAAAUAAGGCCAAUUUCCAUUCCAUAAGAGAUAUUGAGCGAGCUCUCUUUAGUAGAUUUCUAGAUAUAAUGCGGAGCGAUGCACAAAAAGAUCCUGCAAUUUUCCCAGAUGCAGAACAUGCAAAGGUGUUAGUGAAUCAGAUCAUUUUUCACCCUCUUAUGGAUUAGCUGGGGAAGAUUAAUAUCAGCCCCGUCAAAUUUGGAUAACUUUUAAGUUUAUGAGCUGAUUGAUUUGAAAUUUGUAAUUCCCAGCAUGAGGAAAUUCGAGUUAAUAGUUUUUGGACUAUUUUUCAGGUAGAUAGGAAACCAGGUCCUCGACGAGCAUGACAGACCAUAGACCAGCUUUGAUAUAUUCUCACUUCUUAGUCACUUGCUUUCCUUAUCUGCUCCUUUGAUGGUGGCAUUUAACUCUAAUAUUCAUGUUCAUGUAUUUCGACAAGUACUCUAAUAUACAUGUCUUGGACUUUUGAAUUGGGAAAUGUUAGCACAAGCAGAGUCGAUUCUAGGUACUCUAGGUAUUGGAAAAAUAAAAUAUUUACAGGUUCCACCGAGUACUCGGAAUCUGUGGUAUACCACAGGUUCCAAGUAAGUUUUGGUUUCAGAAUAGGGUUCGGUUUCAAAAUAUUGGAACCUAUCCCUUACAGGGUAGGGUCCGGGUAUCGUGAAAAAAAAGGAUACCCAGAACUGAUUACCGCUAGCUAGUAUUAUAUAUAUGAACACUUAGUUGUUUAAAAAUAUAUUUUUUAUUUAAUUGUA